UCCCCCCCCUCCCUCUUUCCCUCCCCCUCCCUCUCUCUCCCUUCCCUCCCUCCCCCUCCCUCCCUCUCCCUCUCCCCCUCUUUGCAGGACAGGACGACGCCAAUGGACAGGAACAGGACAAUGCACAUGGAUGAGGAGAAGCCCGCCCAGGCCUCCUCUGCCUCCUCCGCCCCCCGCGGAUGGACCUCAGGCUUCCACAGCAUGGGGAAAGAACCCCCAGGAUCCUGGGCUUCCCAUGGGCCAGACCGACCCAGCUGGAUGGACGCUGGGACCAGGAUUAACAUCCCAGCAUGAGGAUAGGAAUCGGCGCUGGAACCAGGAUUAACCAUCCCAUCCUGUGGAUCAACGCUGGGACAAGGAUUAAGCAUCCCAUCAUGGAUCGACGUUGGAACCAGGAUUAACCAUCCCAUCAUGGAUCGACGAUGGAACCAGGAUUAACCAUCCCAUCAUGUGGAUCGACGUUGGAACCAGGAUUAACCAUCCCAUCAUGGAUCGACGUUGGAACCAGGAUUAACCAUCCCAUCAUGGAUCGACGUUGGAACCAGGAUUAACCAUCCCAUCAUGUGGAUCGACGUUGGAACCAGGAUUAACCAUCCCAUCCUAUGGAUCGACGCUGGAACCAGGAUUAACCAUCCCAUCAUGUGGAUCGACGUUGGAACCAGGAUUAACCAUCCCAUCAUGGAUCGACGUUGGAACCAGGAUUAACCAUCCCAUCAUGGAUCAACGCUGGAACCAGGAUUAACCAUCCCAUCGUAUGGAUCGACGUUGGAACCAGGAUUAACCAUCCCAUCAUGGAUCGACGCUGGAACCAGGAUUAACAAUCCCAUCACGUGGAUCGACGCUGGGACCAGGAUUGACAUCGCAUCAGCUGGAUAAACACUGCCUCCUUGACAGGACCACGCCAAUGGACAGGAACAGGACAAUGCACAUGGAUGAGGAGAAGCCCGCCCAGGCCUCCUCUGCCUCCUCCGCCCCCCGCGGAUGGACCUCAGGCUUCCACAGCAUGGGGAAAGAACCCCCAGGAUCCUGGGCUUCCCAUGGGCCAGACCGACCCAGCUGGAUGGACGCUGGGACAGGGAUUAACCCUCCCUUCAUGGAUCGAUGCUGGGACGAGGAUUAACCAUCCCAUCCUGUGGAUCGACGCUAGGACAAGGAUUAACCAGCCCAUCCCAUGGAUCGACGCUGGGACGAGGAUUAACCAUCCCAUCCUAUGGAUCGACGCUGGGACAAGGAUUAACAUCCCAUCCUGUGGAUCAACGCUGGGACAAGGAUUAACCAUCCCAUCCUGUGGAUCGACGCUGGGACGAGGAUUAACCAUCCCAUCACGUGGAUCGACGCUGGGACAAGGAUUAACAUCCCAUCCUGUGGA